AGCAGGUGAGUCAGCUAGCUCUCAUUGAUGCCGAACAUGCGUGCCUGCAGGGGUCACCUGAAGUCACCCGCCCAGCGGGAGCGAGGACCUCUCUCCUGUUCCGCUCUUACCUAUGGGGCCACUGAAGACACACGCGGCGUCUCCUCCCUGUGGCGCCUGGAGUGGCCGCCGUGCCCGGAACGUUUCCUCUUGUUAUUGACUUCUAAUUUCAUGCAGCCAAGAAUUUGCCUGGAGAAAUGACAAAGUUUGUCAGAGUGUUGGAUCAUGGGAGAAGAUUGCUACUUUCGCAACAGAUGUUUGGAAGAACCCACUGGUGAAGCCAUCCAGCCCGGACUUUUCUCUGUGAGUAGAUAAUGAAUUCCUAAUUCAGUUUCUUUACUUGUUACAGGUCUAUUCAAAAGUAAAAGGGUA